rnacentral:rRNA from 1 species
UACGUCGGGUGCAAGCGUUGUCCGGAAUUAUUGGGCGUAAAGAGCUCGUAGGCGGUCUGUCGCGUCUGCUGUGAAAACCCAGGGCUUAACCCUGAGCUUGCAGUGGGUACGGGCAGACUAGAGUGCGGUAGGGGAGACUGGAAUUCCUGGUGUAGCGGUGAAAUGCGCAGAUAUCAGGAGGAACACCGGUGGCGAAGGCGGGUCUCUGGGCCGUAACUGACGCUGAGGAGCGAAAGCAUGGGGAGCGAACAGG